AACAGACCUGUCACCGCGUGUGCUAAAACAGGUGUGUGGAACCAUCAGCAGGUGCUGUCCUGAAGACCUCAGGCUACGAGUCGAGCUGUAGGGCUGGAUCAGAGAAGCAAUGUAUGCAGGGGCCUGGACAUGGAGAGCCCGGAAAGUUAACACCAGAAUUUAAAAUGAA